AAUUGUAGGAAGUCUGUGUGAAAUCAAUUCAAUUCAAUUCAAUUCAAUUCAAUUUUAUUUGUAUAGCGCCAAUUCAUAACAGAAGUUAUCUCAGGACACUUUUCAAAUAGAGCAGGUCUAGACCGAACUCUUUAACAUUAAUUACAGAGACCCAACAGUACCACCAUGAGCAAGCACUUGGCGACAAGGGCAAGGAAAAACUGCCUGUUAAAAGGCAGAAACCUAGGACAGAUCCUCCGGCUCUAGGUGGGUGGUCGUCUGUCUCGACCAGUUGGGGUGAGUGAGAGAGAGAGAGAGAGAGAGAGAGAGAGAGAGAGAGAGAGAGAGAGAGAGAGACAGACAGACAGACAGACAGACAGACAGACAGACAGACGCACAGCAACAACAGUAUUGGCAAUGGCAGUCAAGCAGGACCAUGGCAGGAGGCUCCACCAGGAUCCAUGAGAACCUGCGAGACGAGAAAGCACAAGAACUCCGGGGAAGAAGUGGAGUUAGUAACAUGCAUUAAAGGGACAUGAAUGAGUGCAGAAAGAGAGAGGAAGAGAGUAGCUCAGUGCACCAUGGGAAAUCCCCCGAUAGUCUAGGCCUAUAGCAGCAUAACUAAGGGAUGGUUCAGGACUCACCUGAUCCAGCCCUAACUAUAAGCUUUAUCAAAGAGGAAUGUCUUAAGCCUACUCUUGAAUGUGGUGAGGGUGUCUGCCUCCCGAACCACAACUGGAAGCUGGUUCCACAGGAGAGGAGCUUGGUAACUGAAGGCUCUGGCUCCUGUUCUACUUUUAGAGACUAUAGGAACCACAAGUAGCCCAGCAUUCAGAGAACGUAGUGUUCUCGUGGGGUAAUAGGGUACUAUGAGCUCUUUAAGAUAUGAAGGGGCCUGACCAUGAAGAGCUUUAUAGGUGAGGAGGAGGAUUUUAAAUUAAAUUCUACAUUUUAUAGGGAGCCAAUGCAGAGUAGCUAGUACAGGAGAGAUGUGAUCUCUUUUUCUAGUUCCUGUCAGUACUCGUGCUGCAGCGUUCUGAAUUAAUUGGAGCGUUUUAAUGGACUUAUUGGGGCAACCUGAUAAUAAAGAGUUGCAGUAAUCCAGCCUUGAAGUAACAAAUGCAUGGAUUAGUUUUUCUGCAUCUGUCUGUGAUAGUAUAUGUCUAAUUUUUCUAAUAUUACGUAAAUGAAAGAAGGCAGUCCUAGAGGUCUGCUUUAUGUGGGAGUUAAAUGACAAAUCCUGAUCAAAGAUAACUCCAAGAUUCCUGACAGUGGUGCUAGAGGCCAAGUUAAUGCCAUCUAGAGUGACUAUAUCUUUAGACAAUGAGUCUCUAAAGUUUUUGGGGCCAAGAACAAGAAUUUCGUUUUUUUCUGAGUUUAACAUCAGAAAAUUGCAGGUCAUCCAGGAUUUUAUGUCCUUAAGACAUGUUUGUAAUUUAGAUAAUUGAUUAAUUUCAUUGGGUUUGAUUGAUAGAUAUAACUGCGUAUCAUCUGCAUAACAGUGAAAGUUAAUGGAGUGAUUCCUAAUAAUGUUGCCUAAAGGGAGCAUAUAUAAAGUAAAUAGUAUUGGUCCAAGUACAGAACCUUGUGGAACUCCAUGACUAACUUUAGUAUUUAUGGAGGAUUCAUCGUUAACAUGUACAAACUGAGAACGAUCUGAUAAGUAUGACUUAAACCAGGUUAGGGCAGUUCCUUUAAUGCCAAUUUGAUGCUCAAGUCUCUGUAAAAGAAUAUCAUGGUCAAUGGUGUCAAAUGCAGCACUAA